rnacentral:rRNA from 1 species
CCUACGGGCGGCAGCAGUGAGGAAUAUUGGUCAAUGGGCGGAAGCCUGAACCAGCCAAGUAGCGUGCAGGAUGACGGCCCUACGGGUUGUAAACUGCUUUUAUACGGGAAUAACGCGCCUUACGUGUAGGUCUUUGCAUGUACCGUAUGAGUAAGGACCGGCUAAUGCCGUGCCAGCAGCCGCGGCAAGACGGAAGGUCCGGGCGUUAUCCGGAUUUAUUGGGGGUAAAGGGAGCGUAGGCCGCAUGUCAAGCGUGCUGUGAAAUGUCCGGGCCCAACCCGGGCGUUGCAGCGCGAACUGGCGUGCUUGAGUCCGCGGGAGGGAGGCGGAAUUCGAGGUGUAGCGGUGAAAUGCGUAGAUA